rnacentral:rRNA from 1 species
CCUACGGGAGGCAGCAGUGAGGAAUAUUGGUCAAUGGACGAGAGUCUGAACCAGCCAAGUAGCGUGAAGGAUGACUGCCCUAUGGGUUGUAAACUUCUUUUAUAUGGGAAUAAAAUGUUCCACGUGUGGGAUUUUGUAUGUACCAUAUGAAUAAGGAUCGGCUAACUUCGUGCCAGCAGCCGCGGUAAUACGGAGGAUCCGAGCGUUAUCCGGAUUUAUUGGGUUUAAAGGGAGCGUAGGUGGAUUGUUAAGUCAGUUGUGAAAGUUUGCGGCUCAACCGUAAAAUUGCAGUUGAAACUGGCAGUCUUGAGUACAGUAGAGGUGGGCGGAAUUCGUAGUGUAGCGGUGAAAUGCUUAGAUAUCACGAAGAACUCCGAUUGCGAAGGCAGUUCACUGGACUGCAACUGACACUGAGGCUCGAAAGUGUGGGUAUCAAACAGGAUUAGAUACCCCUGUAGUC